AGAAUCAACGCUGGCGGCGUGCCUAAUACAUGCAAGUCGCACGAGAAAGGGUAGCAAUACCUGAGUACAGUGGCGCACGGGUGAGUAACACGUGAAUAAUCUACCUCCGAGUGGGGAAUAACUGAGAGAAAUCUUAGCUAAUACCGCAUAAUACCCACGGGUCAAAGCAGCAAUGCGCUUGGAGAGGAGUUCGCGGCAGAUUAGUUAGUUGGCGGGGUAAUGGCCCACCAAGACGAUGAUCUGUAUCCGGCCUGAGAGGGCGCACGGACACACUGGAACUGAAACACGGUCCAGACUCCUACGGGAGGCAGCAGUGGGGAAUUUUGCGCAAUGGGGGAAACCCUGACGCAGCAACGCCGCGUGGAGGAUGAAGCCCCUUGGGGUGUAAACUCCUUCGAUCGGGAAGAUAAUGACGGUACCGAUAUAAGAAGCCCGGCUAACUUCGUGCCAGCAGCCGC
rnacentral:rRNA from 1 species